GGAUGUGAGGGCGAUCUGGCUGCGACAUCUGUCACCCCAUUGAUCGCCAGGGUUGAUUUGGCUGAACUGGCUGGCUAGGCGGGUGUCCCCUUCCUCCCUCACCACUCCAUGUGCGUCCCUCCCGAAGCUGCGCGCUCGGUGGAAGAGGACGACCAUCCCAGAUAGAAGGAGUGUACCGUUCUUCGGUCAAGGGUAUACGAUAG
rnacentral:sRNA from 1 species